AUUUGUUGUUGCAGCCCUUGUUUCAACUGUUGUGUAACAUGGUCUUUGGAGAAAAUUGGACAUUUACUUCCUGAAUCAAGAGUUCUCUAAAAUAAAGUUAACAACUCUUUAAAUGUCCUCCCCGUACAGUAUAAUGGAGCGGAAACACUGCUGGCUCAUCCCAUUAAUGAUGCAGAGUUCUGGACACGAGAGAGAUGUCUGAGAAGAUGAGAAGGAGAAGUCACUCAGAGCCUGCAUGGAGACUUCUAAAUCCACAAAUGAAACAGGGGAGGAGAGGAGCGGCCUAGAUGAAGUCCAUAGGGCUCCUGACGUUUCUCUGAGACAUCGCCUUGUUUCCAAUCCUGAUUCAGUUGGAUUUGCGGCUCCGAAGCGAUUUAUGAAACUCUGGACCGUGGCUCGAGUGCCUGCAAAGGUCGACGUGCUGUGGAUCUGACUCAUCCUCUGUGCCCAGAAUAAGUACCUUGAAGAGCGACUAAAGGAGAGAAAAGCCAGAUAAUUAGAUUAAGUGACUCAGUUCUUUCUGACACAUCUCAUAUUCCCCUUUUGCCCUUUUCAAGUCGGCUUAAAAUCAAACGGCCAGCGGUCGGAGUCACAGCUGAAAGACAGGCUCCACUUUGGACGUCCGUCACCGGUCCUCCAACGAUGGGUCCGUCGUCAUCAUGGUCACGCUGGCAGUGCCGGGCAGGAGACGUCAUUGUGCCGUUGAGAGAACGGCCCUCGGGCUCCUCAGUCCUCUAGCUCGGACAAUCAAACAAGGAGACUGACAACAGCUACAUUUGCG
ensembl:lncRNA